AAAAGAAUCAAACAUCACCAUUGUUCAUUGUUAAGCACUCCUAGUCCUAGGUAAGCGACACAAACAUCACAUACACUAAACCAAUUAAUAACAUAAUAUACAUUAAUUAAACUUAACAAAGACAAGGAGAACAUAUUAAUCAAGCAUAGACAGUGGAGGUUUUGGAAGGGGAUUGCCAUCAAAACCAGUUUCUUGAAACUUGCAGAUAAACAAGUGGAUGUCGUUCAAAUACCCAAGGAGUAUCAUUUUUUUCAGCCCUCAAAAAACUGUUCGCUAACUCCAUGGUACGACGACGUUUGUUCAUAGCCCUCAGUGAUCUUUCUCACUAGACGUUCACUUUCCUCAUCCAGACGUUUCUGCUGACCAGCCUUGGCCUUGCUAUCUCUCUUUCUCUUCUUCAAGCUGGCAGAGGAAGGAGAAUAAGCUGAAGAAAACAUUGUCUCUAAAGAACACAAGGCCUAGAGAUAGAGGAUAUUAAAU
rnacentral:lncRNA from 1 species